GAAUGCUGACAUAAGUAACGAUAAAGCGGGUGAAAAGCCCGCUCGCCGGAAGACCAAGGGUUCCUGUCCAACGUUAAUCGGGGCAGGGUGAGUCGACCCCUAAGGCGAGGCCGAAAGGCGUAGUCGAUGGGAAACGGGUUAAUAUUCCCGUACUUGGUGUUACUGCGAAGGGGGGACGGAGAAGGCUAUGUUGGCCGGGCGACGGUUGUCCCGGUUUAAGCGUGUAGGUGUGUGUUCCAGGUAAAUCCGGUUCACUUUAACACUGAGGCGUGACGACGAGGCACUACGGUGCUGAAGCAACAAAUGCCCUGCUUCCAGGAAAAGCCUCUAAGCAUCAGGUAACAUCAAAUCGUACCCCAAACCGACACAGGUGGUCAGGUAGAGAAUACCAAGGCGCUUGAGAGAACUCGGGUGAAGGAACUAGGCAAAAUGGUGCCGUAACUUCGGGAGAAGGCACGCUGACACGUAGGUGAAGUGAUUUACUCAUGGAGCUGAAGUCAGUCGAAGAUACCAGCUGGCUGCAACUGUUUAUUAAAAACACAGCACUGUGCAAACACGAAAGUGGACGUAUACGGUGUGACGCCUGCCCGGUGCCGGAAGGUUAAUUGAUGGGGUCAGCGCAAGCGAAGCUCCUGAUCGAAGCCCCGGUAAACGGCGGCCGUAACUAUAACGGUCCUAAGGUAGCGAAAUUCCUUGUCGGGUAAGUUCCGACCUGCACGAAUGGCGUAAUGAUGGCCAGGCUGUCUCCACCCGAGACUCAGUGAAAUUGAACUCGCUGUGAAGAUGCAGUGUACCCGCGGCAAGACGGAAAGACCCCGUGAACCUUUACUAUAGCUUGACACUGAACAUUGAGCCUUGAUGUGUAGGAUAGGUGGGAGGCUUUGAAGUGUGGACGCCAGUCUGCAUGGAGCCGACCUUGAAAUACCACCCUUUAAUGUUUGAUGUUCUAACGUGGACCCGUAAUCCGGGUUGCGGACAGUGUCUGGUGGGUAGUUUGACUGGGGCGGUCUCCUCCUAAAGAGUAACGGAGGAGCACGAAGGUUGGCUAAUCCUGGUCGGACAUCAGGAGGUUAGUGCAAUGGCAUAAGCCAGCUUGACUGCGAGCGUGACGGCGCGAGCAGGUGCGAAAGCAGGUCAUAGUGAUCCGGUGGUUCUGAAUGGAAGGGCCAUCGCUCAACGGAUAAAAGGUACUCCGGGGAUAACAGGCUGAUACCGCCCAAGAGUUCAUAUCGACGGCGGUGUUUGGCACCUCGAUGUCGGCUCAUCACAUCCUGGGGCUGAAGUAGGUCCCAAGGGUAUGGCUGUUCGCCAUUUAAAGUGGUACGCGAGCUGGGUUUAGAACGUCGUGAGACAGUUCGGUCCCUAUCUGCCGUGGGCGCUGGAGAACUGAGGGGGGCUGCUCCUAGUACGAGAGGACCGGAGUGGACGCAUCACUGGUGUUCGGGUUGUCAUGCCAAUGGCACUGCCCGGUAGCUAAAUGCGGAAGAGAUAAGUGCUGAAAGCAUCUAAGCACGAAACUUGCCCCGAGAUGAGUUCUCCCUGAGACUUAGAGUCUCCUGAAGGAACGUUGAAGACGACGACGUUGAUAGGCCG
rnacentral:rRNA from 1 species